GACGAACGCUGGCGGCGUGCUUAACACAUGCAAGUCGAACGGAAAGGCCCUGCUUUUGUGGGGUGCUCGUGUGGCGAACGGGUGAGUAACACGUGAGUAACCUGCCCUUGUCUUUGGGAUAACUUCAGGAAACUGGGGCUAAUACCGGAUAGGAGCUCCUGCUGCAUGGUGGGGGAUGGAAAGUUUCGGCGGUUGGGGAUGGGCUCGCGGCUUAUCAGCUUGUUGGUGGGGUAGUGGCUUACCAAGGCUUUGACGGGUAGCAGGCCUGAGAGGGUGACCGGCCACACUGGGACUGAGAUACGGCCCAGACUGCUACGGGAGGGAGCAGUGGGGAAGAUUGCAGAAUGGGCGGAAGCCUGAUGCAGCAACGCCGCGGGCGGGAUGACGGCCUUCGGGUUGAAGACCACUUGCGCAUGUGACGAAGCGUGAGUGACGGUAAUGGGUAAAGAAGCACCGGCUAACUAAGUG
rnacentral:rRNA from 1 species